UAUCACAUCAUAUUUCUUGCAUUCUCUAAUUAUACGCUGAUCUCUCUCUCAACUUUGAUUUUCCAACUUAUUAUGUUAACUAUGGUUGAGAUGAAUUUGGAUCCAAGAGAUUGUAUAUCCCACAUUUUAUCGUUCUCGUCUGUUCGCGAUGCGUGUCAAAUUUCGCUUCUCUCCUCAAUCGCCCGCUUCUCUCCUCAAUCGCCAGGGUUGCAGCUGAAUAUGACGUUGUUUGGGAGAAUUUCCUACCAUUUGAUUAUCAUAACAUUCAAUCGAGAUUAACAUCUCCACUCUUGUUCAAAUCCAAAAAAGAGUUGUUUCUUAGGCUUCACAAUCCAAUUUUGGCCAAUAAGGGUAAAAAGGUAAAUUUAUCAGAGUUUCAUAUAUUUUUUUUGUUUUCUUUCGAUAUUUUUCAAAAAAAAUUUGAAAACAGUUGAAGACAACACAUAUAUAAAAGAGAACAUUUUUGUUCAUGCACAUUUUUUAUUGUAAACAAAAGCUAUUUUCGGUCUAUAUAACACUGAAAAAGAGAAAAUUGAAGAAAAACUUCACAUUUAGCAUUAUUCGAAAAUGGCUAAAUAAUUUUCAUUCAAUUUUUUAUAUUUUAUAUUUUUUCUUUUCUAUAUUACCUAGGAGUGAACAGAAAGAGGAAUGAAAAUAGUUAUAUUUUAUUCCUUUUGUUUUCUCUUUCUUUCCUCAAAUUCCAAACAAAACCUAAAUAUCUUUCUUUAGCAAGUUUGACGAAGUUGUUGAACUCGCAACCACAUGGUGGCUAGAAAUCAAUGGUAAAAUCCACACUCGGAUGCUAUCACUAAACACGACUUAGAAAGCCUGUCUCAUCGUAAAAUUUGCUGAUCGAACUUACGAGUUUGACUUCCCCCUUUUGGAUUUGUCAGUCGAAAUAAUCAAAUUAAUGCAAUUAUUCAUGAUACCAUGUUCGGGCUCACGUUCUAGCAAGAUAGUACGAGAUUUUUUAUCAAAUAUAUUAUUUUUUUGUAACUUUGUUCUAAUACAUUUCUAGAUUUCUAGUCGCUUGGUCUUUCCUCCAAAUUCAUGUAUGUCGAAAUUAUAUGUCGCAUGGUCUUCCCUUAGAAUUCCUGCAUUUCAAAAUUAUCUAUCAUCAUAUCCGACUGAGCAGUUUGAAAUAAUAGAGAUGAUUUUGAAAAAAGACGCUUUCAAAACUAAUAAUCAAUUCAAUCUCAUUGCACAUGUCCUCAUGUGUAAUAUCAUGUCCUACAGCCUACUAUGUACUCUAACUAUCAGAAACUCAUAUUCUUGCAUUCCUAAUUAAUUUAUGAAUAAUAAUGAAAUACACAUUUAAAAGUGGGUUGUGUAUAAAUUACACACAUUUGCCCUCUACAAAUAAGUAUACUUCGCCUAAUAACUUUUUUAGAAAAGCGUAAAAACCCUAAUUAGGGCAGGUCUCACUUGUUUUGUGAGGGGAUAAAAAUAGGUGUGUCUUAUAUACACCAAAAAAUGGGUGUGUACCUAUCACUAUUGAUUAAUUAUACGCUGAUCUCUCUCUCUCAACUUUGAUUUUCCAACUUAUUAUGUUUACUAUGGUUGACAUGAAUUUGGAUCCAAGAGAUUAUAUAUCCCACAUUUUAUUGUUCUCGUCUCUUCAGAUACGUGUCAAAUGUCGCUUCUCUCCUCAGUCGUCAGGGUUGCAGCUAAAUAUGACAUUGUUUGGGAGAAUUUCCUACCAUCCGAUUAUCAUAACAUUCAAUUGAGAUUAACAUAUCAACUCUUGUUCAAAUC
rnacentral:lncRNA from 1 species